UAAGGCGGGUCGAGUGACUGAAGCGAGUAAAAAUACAAUAUUUAGUUUGUUUUUAUUUAAACUUUUUAAUAGAUUUUAUUAAAUUUUCACCUUAAUUAUUAACUAUGUGAAAUCGAAACACUAUUUUUAUAUAUACACUGAAAGCGAAAUGGAUAUAUAAUAUAUAUAUAUACAUAUAAAUAUAAAUGUAUUAGA